AAGGCGAAGGGGAGGGAACUGGAGGUGGGAAAAGGCCAGACCAAAUCAGGGCCAGCAACAGAUAACCAAGGAAGGAUGGAGCCCAUAAUAGCCCAUUGUUGGCUGGGGACAAGAGGAUAAGGAAGG